rnacentral:rRNA from 1 species
GAUGAACGCUGGCGGCGUGCCUAAUACAUGCAAGUCGAGCGAACAGACGAGGAGCUUGCUCCUCUGACGUUAGCGGCGGACGGGUGAGUAACACGUGGAUAACCUACCUAUAAGACUGGGAUAACUUCGGGAAACCGGAGCUAAUACCGGAUAAUAUAUUGAACCGCAUGGGUCAAUAGUGAAAGACGGUUUUGCUGUCACUUAUAGAUGGAUCCGCGCCGCAUUAGCUAGUUGGUAAGGUAACGGCUUACCAAGGCAACGAUGCGUAGCCGACCUGUGAGGGUGAUCGGCCACACGGGAACUGAGACACGGUCCAGACUCCUACGGGAGGCAGCAGUAGGGAAUCUUCCGCAAUGGGCGAAAGCCUGACGGAGCAACGCCGCGUGAGUGAUGAAGGUCUUCGGAUCGUAAAACUCUGUUAUUAGGGAAGAACAAAUGUGUAAGUAACUAUGCACGUCUUGACGGUACCUAAUCAGAAAGCCACGGCUAACUACGUG